AGCACAGAAUUCACAGGAGAAAGACACUCGGCGUCUCUGAGAAUUCUUAGGACAAGCAAGGAAAAUAUUAACUUCCUAAGCAGGUUAAAGCCGACCCCAACAACUUCAAGUAUUAAUUCAACAUGUACAAAUAAGGAUAUGAAGCAUGAAAAAGACCGAAGAGGAAUAAUUAGCAACUGUGUGAUUAGUUACAUCUCUAGGAUAAUUCGCAUCUCUGUGGAAAGAAACUGUUGCUUAUAGGAAUCUCUUUCCUCUUGCCAAAGAAUGCAUGGUUGAAGGCUCAUGUCUUCUCCAGUCAUCAGCAGACUUGAUUGAAUCAGUCCAGGCCACAGAGAGCAGAACUGUAAACAGAAAAUUAUGACUGCCAGAGGAAGAGCACCCAAAUCCAGAACAGACAUUUGCUUCAACAGAAGGUAGUUUUACGAGUACAAGGUCCUGGAAUUUUUACAUAUCUGCAAGGCAAAGAGUGGGAAGGUGGAGGAUUCUUUCAUGAGGCCACUCAACAAGAGCUUGAGGGAGGUUUGGUCUCUGAGAUAGGAGCACCUUUCCACAGGAAAGAUUGAUGGGAAGAAUCCCUGCCUGGCUGAAAUAUGGAGCCCUGGAAAUUGCCACAGAACCAAGAAGAAAAUAAAUCAGGGUCAAACCUGAGGUGCAGGCCUCAGAGGCAAGAGAGACUCCAUGAAACAUAGUUCCUACUCAGCCCGGGAGACACAGAGGACAAGAAAGGAUGAAGGAAUUUUUGGUCUAGAGCAGGAGAGAGUGAGAUCAGAAUCUGCUUUAUGCUGGCCGUCCUCUUCCCCCACCAAUCUCUCCUCCAAUGCAGAACCUGAGAGCUGAAAGCCAGCCAACUGGGGGCA